AGUGAACGCUGGCGGUAGGCCUAACACAUGCAAGUCGAACGGCAGCACAGUAAGAGCUUGCUCUUACGGGUGGCGAGUGGCGGACGGGUGAGGUAUACAUCGGAAUCUACUUUUUCGUGGGGGAUAACGUAGGGAAACUUACGCUAAUACCGCAUACGACCUACGGGCGAAAGCAGGGGAUCUUCGGACCUUGCGCGAUUGAAUGAGCCGAUGUCGGAUUAGCUAGUUGGCGGGGUAAAGGCCCACCAAGGCGACGAUCCGUAGCUGGUCUGAGAGGAUGAUCAGCCACACUGGAACUGAGACACGGUCCAGACUCCUACGGGAGGUAGCAGUGGGGAAUAUUGGACAAUGGGCGCAAGCCUGAUCCAGCCAUACCGCGUGGGUGAAGAAGGCCUUCGGGUUGUAAAGCCCUUUUGUUGGGAAAGAAAAGCAGCAGGUUAAUACCCCGCUGUUCUGACGGUACCCAAAGAAUAAGCACCGGCUAACUUCGUG
rnacentral:rRNA from 1 species